rnacentral:lncRNA from 1 species
CCCCACUUAACAUAAAUCUCGUCCCGAGAUUUGGGAGAAACUAGAGAGAAAGAUAAAGUAGAUCAUUAAAGUUGUUUCGAGACUUUCAAGACGUGAUCAAAGGAUUAAAGAUAGACAUAAAGGGUACAGAGUAUGGUAAAGAUUGAUGACAAGGAAAGAUAAACGCAUGAGAUAAGAAUUGAUCUUUGGAUCCUGUAUUAUGAUAAGGU